GACGAACGCUGGCGGCGUGCCUAAUACAUGCAAGUCGAGCGGAACUUAGAAAGCUUGCUUUCUAAGUUUAGCGGCGGACGGGUGAGUAACACGUGGGCAACCUACCUUGUAGAUUGGGAUAACUCCGGGAAACCGGGGCUAAUACCGAAUAAUCCAUUUCGCUUCAUGGCGAGAUGUUGAAAGACGGUUUCGGCUGUCACUACAAGAUGGGCCCGCGGCGCAUUAGCUAGUUGGUAGGGUAAUGGCCUACCAAGGCGACGAUGCGUAGCCGACCUGAGAGGGUGAUCGGCCACACUGGGACUGAGACACGGCCCAGACUCCUACGGGAGGCAGCAGUAGGGAAUCUUCCACAAUGGACGAAAGUCUGAUGGAGCAACGCCGCGUGAGUGAAGAAGGUUUUCGGAUCGUAAAACUCUGUUGUAAGGGAAGAACACGUACGAGAGUAACUGCUCGUACCUUGACGGGUACCUUAUUAGAAAGCCACGGCUAACUACGUG
rnacentral:rRNA from 1 species